CCAGGAAAUCGCCUCCUAUCUUAUCACCUUCGAGAAACAUGACGAGUGGCUCUCCUGCUCCCCCAAGACCAGGCCACAGAACGGCUCCGUCAUCCUCUACAACCGGAAGAAGGUGAAGUACCGCAAGGAUGGCUACUGCUGGAAGAAGCGCAAGGAUGGCAAGACCACCCGCGAGGACCACAUGAAGCUGAAGGUGCAGGGUGUGGAGUGCCUCUACGGCUGCUACGUCCACUCCUCCAUCGUCCCCACCUUCCACCGCCGCUGCUACUGGCUGCUGCAGAACCCCGACAUCGUCCUGGUUCACUACCUGAACGUCCCGGCCAUGGAGGAGUGCAGCCGCCCCUGUGCCCCCCCACUUUGCGCUGGCAGCC